GAAGAUGGAACAAAUAUGAAGAGAAGUGGUGGAGGAGAAAGGGAAGCUGGUCAGAGAAAAUGUGAGAGAGGAGGGAGGGGGGACAGAGGAGAAGGGAGCUUGAAAGCCAAAACUGGAUGAAGUUUUGUUCAAAUCACAUCUACUGCUGCCCUUUGGCAACAGUACAAGUCAUUCCUCUGUGUAUCUGCGUGUGGAUGUGUCGAGGUUAUUCAUAUGUGAACCAUUAGGAUGCACCUUAUGAUCGGAGGAGGAACAGGAAAGACAGAGGCUUCACUACAACAGCAGAAGUAUGUUUUGGUAAUGUACAGCAGGUUGAUGAGAGCUUGAAAGCAGCUACCUGCUGAUGGAAACAGCGUUGAUGAGAGCAGAGAGACUGAACGAUGCCUUUCACAAAAGGAAUUUUGUAAACAACCGAUCAUGUGCUGGUUGUCAUUCAGUGACACAGCCCACCCGUGUUUGGUGGACUGUACUUUGGUCAUGGUGGGAUGGCGUGUGGGCAGGAAUGGGAACAUCUGGAUCUGAAAUGAAACUCGGACACUUACUGUCAAAGAGCCAACAACAAUCUGCCUGCCAGUAAAACUAGGAUGGAUAUCCAUUAGAUCUACUAGCCUGGGAAUAUGGACACACACACACACACACACACACAC